rnacentral:rRNA from 1 species
CCUACGGGAGGCAGCAGUGAGGAAUAUUGGUCAAUGGGAGGAAUCCUGAACCAGCCAUGCCGCGUGCGGGACGACUGCUCUAUGAGUUGUAAACUGCUUUUGUACCGGGGUAAAAUGCUCUACGAGUAGGGUUUUGAAAGUACGGUACGAAUAAGGAUCGGCUAACUCCGUGCCAGCAGCCGCGGUAAUACGGAGGAUCCGAGCGUUAUCCGGAUUUAUUGGGUUUAAAGGGUGCGUAGGUUGUUUUAUAAGUUAGUGGUGAAAUCCCGAGGCUCAACAUCGGGGCUGCCGCUGAUACUGUAGGACUAGAGAUCGGAUGCAGCAGGCGGAAUGUGUAGUGUAGCGGUGAAAUGCUUAGAUAUUACACAGAACACCGAUUGCGAAGGCAGCUUGCUAGGCCGGAUCUGACACUGAUGCACGAAAGCGUGGGGAUCGAACAGGAUUAGAUACCCCUGUAGUC